AAAAAAUGGCGUCUCCGGCAGAAGACCAGCUUCUGAGAAAAUAUUUCCAACAAGGACUGUCAUAUAUUGAAAUCCAGAUGUUGAUGUAUUUAAACCACGGUAUUGAAUUAAGUUACCGUACACUGAAAAGGCGUCUAAGAAAUUUAGAUCUUAAAAAAGUUGGAAAUUGGAGUUUAGAUGAAAUCAUUCCUGUUAUCCAGAUGGAGAUUAAAGAAGGCUCAAAGAAUUUAGGUUGCCGUAGUUUAUCUAGGAGAUUAUUUUUAAAACAUGGAAUAUUUGUUGGAAGGAAUACAACAAUGUGUGCCCUUAGAAUUUUAGAUCCAGAGGGAGUGUCCCUUAGGUCACAGCAUUGUUUAUCCAGACGCCAGUAUUAUAACCAAGGACCCAAUUUUCUUGUUCAUAUUGAUGGAUAUGAUAAGUUGAAACCAUUUGGAUUUUGCAUUCAUGGAGCAAUUUGUGGGUUUUCUCGUCGCAUCCUUUGGUUACGAGUUGCUAGAACAAAUAACAAUCCAAAGGUAGUUGCCUCAUACUUUCUGGACUAUGUUGAGGAAAUAGCAGGUACUGACUUUAAAACUGAGUACCAAGAUGCAUUAGAAUAGAUGCUGGAACAGAAAAUGGUCACAUUGAAGACAUGCAGAAGGCUUUUCGUUGGAAUGAUGAUGAUGCUAUGGCUGGAGAUAAAAGUGUGAUCAUUGGAAGUUCCACAUCAAACCAGAGAAUAGAGCGAUGGUGGAGAUCACUUCGUCAAUUGGGUGUUGGAUAUUGGAUAGACUUUUUCAAAGAUUUAGAGAUGCAGGGAUAUUUCACAUGUGGAAACCCCAUGCAUAUAGAAUGUUUAAGAUUUUGCUUUAUGGCCAUAUUACAAAGGGAUUUGGAUCACAUCAGAAAAGAUUGGAAUACUCACAAUAUCAGACAUCAAUCAAAAAAUGUUGUAGAAUGUCCCUCAGGAAAGCCAGAUAUCAUGUUCUUCAAUCCAGAGCUUUAUGAUGCUGUUGAUUACAAGUUUCCAGUAGAAAUAGAUGACAUAGAAGCAAUGAAAAAUUUCUGUGAAUUACCCAACAAGUUUGGAUGUAGAGAGGAUACCCUAGCUCAUUUAAUGGACCUUAUGAGACAAGGAGGAAAAUCAAUACCUUGUGAAACAGAGGAAGCUGUUGAAUUGUUUUUAUGGAUUCUUCAGCAAUUACGUGCUUAAGUUGAAAGCCACCAACUUAUUUAUGAUAUUACAUUGUAUAAAUUGUGUAUGCCAUGAUGAUCAUUAACUUUUGCGGGUGACUAGUGACACAUUUUUUUUCAAUGUAUACCUGUAUGUACCCGGUAUCUGUGAUGUUCCUAAAUAUUUAAGAGAAAAGUAAACACUGGAUCAGAAAUGCAAGCAUUAGCACUGCACUGUGAUAAAAAUGACAAAUAACAGAAGACAAAAACUGAGUGUAUAAUUUUCACAUUUAUUUUGCAUAUAUAGUUCAUAAUGAAAAAAUUAAAAUCACCUGAAUUUAUCUGUU
rnacentral:misc_RNA from 1 species